UCGACAAAACGCGGUAGUCUAGACGUACCCCCAGGGAGACUGGGGACCUAAACCUCAUUUCUCCCCUUAGAAAAGAGUUUGAGGGUGUUAGAUGCAACUUCCCUGCUCAUGUCUGCCCUACAGGGGGAGCUAGAGUAUCACCCCUCCCCAGCAGUGUCUGCCUGACAUGGGGUCCUGGAGAGGUGAGGGUAUGGCCGCUGCUCCAGGAUCGGACCCAGCAGGGGAGGGCCCCCAGGCAACAUCAUAUUUUGUCACAACAUACUAUCAAGCUCAAUCCUGCAAACAUUAUUCUUGUGAAUAAUUUGACACGUGAUUACUUCCAUUAAGAUAACAGAGGACUGAGUAAAGCAAAGAGACUGAGGGAAGUCUUGGGGGCAGGGACCUUGGAAGAAGAGCUGGAGUGGGCACAGGGCCUUUGAGGAAGCAGCAGAAUGGAAGAGAGACCUCCAAGUGAAUCACAGGCAGGGCCUCAAGAAGAAGUGGCAGAGGAGGGACAGGGUCAUGUGGCUGAGAAUGGGUUAGGACUGCAGUCUGAGCACCAGUGACCCCACCCCACUUUUAGGGAGUUUCUGACACCCCAUCCAGCUUCCCCACCACUAGAGUCAUGCACUGUCCAAAGCACCCACAGAGUUGGCACAUAGAGAACCCAGGCCCACUGCCUCCUGUGGUUUUCAACUCAGGAAACAUAUUUGAAGCAGCCAGCCUCCAUCUUUCUCAAUUAUUUGCUGCUCCAUGAACUGCCUCUCCUCCUUUGCAAGCUUUUCGUGCCUCUUGCCCUAAUUUGUCCUUUUUGGAGCAUUUGGUUUUUCUGGCAGCUUCUUCCCCAGCCUGUUGGAAGAAUCUUCAUUUUACAAUCCCUUCACCUCACUGAGGGCUGGGCUUCCCUUUUUUCUUCAGCUGUUUUCCCUUUGAUUGAGGCCCUUAGCCUUUCAUCAUGCCUCAGUGCUUCCCUGUCUAAUUAACUGCCUCUUAGUUACUGAGUGAAUUAACUACUUACAGGUGUACCCAAGCUGCCUCAUUUCCCCUCAAGGGGUCUCUCAGAAGAAGACUGGGCCCCUAACUCCAGAAUGACAGCUACUUUCUGACAUAUAAUUUUUAACUAUGCUAUAAAUAGUAAGAGGAAAAAGGAUUUACAUCAUGAUCUAACUACUCCUUACUCCCUUGAGUACAUCUUAUUUUUGCACAGAUUCAUAUUGGCUUAGGGCAAAACUGCAAUUGUGUUCAACCCUAGCUCUCAGAAACUAUGGUAAUUGUUACUACAUAAAUUGCUGGGCUUCAGUCUUGCAAAUGCUUACACAUGUGCAGGAUUAGGGCUUCCUCAUUUGUCUAUAUUAGAAGUUUUUAUUUGAAGUUAUUGAUUGCCUAAUUGUUUGUGGUAGUUAACGUAUUUGUAAUGGCUAAUCUGGUACACUCAAUGUUUGUUCUGAGAUACAAAUUUUGGGUCUUAAGAUAAAGGACAAACACUUGUAUUCUCAAAAUGCUCAGGGAGUAUUCACAUUGCUCCUACAACUAUGUUAUCUACUUCUAUACAAUGUUAUUGUAGCUGUGUUGGUCCCAGGAUAUUAGAGAGACAAGGUGGUGAGGUAAUAUUUUUAUUAGACCAACUUCCAUUUGUGAGAGAGACAUUUACACAGAGCUCUUCUUUAAAUCAGGGAAAUAUACUCAGUAUCACAGCUAAAUACAUGGUGGAACAGAUGACCUUCGCCAAUGGUAGGCAACCUGCAGCCCAUCAGGGUUUCAUGUGUGGUCCACGAGACAUUUUGUUCACUGUUCUCAUGCAUAGGGUUGCCAGAGUCUGCUGGUUUCCGUGAACCUUUUUUUCUAUCAGUAUUACUAAUGUGACAUGCAUGUAAAGGGAAGUGCAUGCUAAUUGCACACAAUAUUGAUUAUGAAAGGCGUGCACUCCCUCUGCAACCAAUAAAAGCGCUGCUAAGUUUCAGUCUGCACACCAUGCAAAUUACAGGUAUGCAAUCACAAUUAGCAAAACUAUCCUAUCUCUGGAGACUGUCUUGGUUACGACAGUCUUGUGGUUCACUGAGACGAAGGGCCACUCAUGCCUCGGUUGCUCAUCCCUGACCUACUCUGAGUAAGUAUUUGCUGACUAAAUCCGUUAACUCAAGUAAAUAACACUGGUGUAGACCUUCGCCAAAGAAAUAGGACUUCUUAGGGACUAAUCUUGUAAAAUGCUGAUCUUCCUCAAUUUGUAUGAAUAUCAGCACCUAAUAGGAUCCAGCUUUAAGCAGGUAAACAUUUGCAUAAUGUAGUCCUUAAGCCAUGGCUUGGUGGACAAAAAGUCCUUCAGGGCUUCUCUACAUAAGGACAUCCAGGAAAAUUAAUUCAAAAUUAACUCACUGUGUGAAUUUGAAGUGGAUAAGUUAAAAAUUGUGAUCCUAUUCUUCAGAAUUAAAGUAGCCUUAAUUUGGUUUAGUUGAAUUCAUUCCCCAAGUGACUUAAACCACAUGGAAUCAGGGGUCACUAUAGUUUUGAAAAACAGUGUAUACACAGGGGUUUAAUAUGGUUUCACUAACCCGCUUCAGAUUCACAGUUGUGGUUAAUUCAGAUUAAUUUUUUAUGGUGCUAUAUAGACAAAACCUCAGUCAUAGUAGUUCAUCGGAGUUACCUUACAUAUGAUUGAAAAGACUUUUUAAGACUGAUGCAGGAUUGAAGCCACAUUAGCUUGUUACAGGCUUGGCAUCUCUACAGUCGUUUAUCUCUGCAUCUAACUAUUUGAAGUUUCCCUUUUGGUAGCUAAGGUUUCAAUUAGGGAACAGCACUAAGAUAAGUACUUUUAAAGUCCUAUGGUUAGAAGCAGUCAAGGCUUAGUUACGCAGACAUUGGAAAGAAAAUCCCGCCUUUCAUGAGUGCUGGGUAGUUUGUUCCUUCAUAGGCAUUGCCAACUGUUAUGGCAGUUGCUCAAUUGGGAAAGUAUCCUAACCCUUCCCCCAAAGUAAUGUGAUUGGCUGAUGAGAGUCAUAGGCAUAGAGUUACAUGGCAUGUCAGCAUAAAAUUCAGGGUGUUUCCUUUUCCCUUGUCUAACAGGUCUCUGUAAAAGCAAAACUAAAAAGACACAUUCCUUUCUGAACUAGAAAGCAAGCUUUUACUACUAAAGCAACUCCAUUUAAGAAAUCGCAAGUUACCCACAAGAAGCAUUUGAAUAGCUGUAAUCAGGAGAUUGCAUUCUAAUAGAAAAAGAAAAUAUUCAAAAGAGCGAGUUUAUUACUUGGCUCAGGGAAAUGAAAAGAAAAGAAAAUAGAGCAACAUUUAAACAGUAAAAAAAAACAUAAACAAUUUUCUUCCCUCUCUAAAAUAUUUCCCUUCAGAAAAUAAAACCUACUCAAGGUAGAAAUAGUUAAGACCAAGGCUAAACUAUAAACUUUUGCCAUCAUAACAUAUAUUGGUCAGGAAAGUGAGGUGUGAUUUGUGACUGAUAUAGCUGUGCCAACAAAAGCCCCUAAGUUAGACAUAGUUAUAUUGGCAAAACUGCACUUUUGCCAGAGUAGGUUAUUUUGCAUGUGGGUGAGGGACUGAAAUAUAAGCGCAGCUUUGUUUAUAUAAGCUGCUCUAUACAUGGCGUGUUUUGCUGCUAUAGUAUAUCAGUUUAGGUAUACCAGGAAAAUCUUUCAAGUAUAAGCCUGGCCUAAGAGGCAGAACUGUUUUUAAAGCUAAAUUCUGUCUUUGGAUAUAUACACACACAUGAAGAGUGUGCACACACGUGUACUUAAUUUAACUUUAAGAAGCUUACUUGAUCUGGCAGGAUCAUAUGCCGGGGGUGGGGAUGUGCAAAGGGUGCAAACGCACUGUCCCAUAUGAUUCCCUUAGACAGCAUGAGGGUGCUGCAUGGCUGCCGUCCUUGUGGUCCACUGCUUGAGCUCAGCUCCCUUCCUUUCCUCCACAGCGGGGAGCCCACAAGGGUGCUGCAGCCUUGCCUCCCUCCCUGCAUAGUUGGAGUGCCAGUACUGGCUUCUUGCUGGGGGGGAGAAGAGAGAAAGCCCCAAGUCUUGCUGCACGAUCUGGCUCAUGGCGAAGAAGUCCUUCUCCUCCCCCUCUCCUGGCUGCGGAAACAGUAGCGUGAAGACCGCAGUGAGGGUCAGGGCUUUCUCUCCCCUCCAGUGGGAAGCUGGCUCUGGCACUCCAAUGGAAUUUGGCCAAUGGGAACAGCAGGAGGCAGUGCCUGGGACCAGCACAGAGUGUGAAGGCAAGUAAAUAUCCCCCCCCCUACAUCCCCUCAUGCCCAGACCUCCACACCUCCAACCCCCUCACACCUCACCACGGC